CAGCACCUCAAGUGGUCAGGAUGAUUAUUGGGCCUAAAGCAUCCGUAGCCGGCGCUGUAAGUUUUCGGUUAAAUCUGUACGCUCAACGUACAGGCUGCCGGGAAUACUGCAGCGCUAGGGAGUGGGAGAGGUAGACGGUACUCGGUAGGAAGGGGUAAAAUCCUUUGAUCUAUUGAUGACCACCUGUGGCGAAGGCGGUCUACCAGAACACGUCCGACGGUGAGGGAUGAAAGCUGGGGGAGCAAACCGGAUUAGAUGCCCGAGUAGUCC
rnacentral:rRNA from 1 species